UAGGGGAGCAUUCUAGCGGCGCUGAAGGUGAGAGGACAACUCUUGCUGGAGUUUAUGGAAAAGCAAAUGUAGGUAUAAGUAACGAUAAAGGAGGUGAGAAACCUCCUCGCCGAAAGACUAAGGUUUCCUGAUCAACGCUAAUCGGAUCAGGGUUAGUCGGGGCCUAAGGGGAAGCCGAACGGCGCACCCGAUGGAAGAACCGGUUAAUAUUCCGGUACUAAUUAUGUGAGCGAUGUGGAGACGGAGAUGUGACGGUCCUGCCAACUGACGGAAUAGUUGGUUGAAGGGUGUAGGAGUUGAUCUGAGUAGGCAAAUCCGCUCGGAGAUCCGAACCUGACAGUACUCUGAGUGCUUGCACAAGGAGAUAUGGACAACUGUAACGGUGCUCCCAAGAAAAUCCGCUAAGCAUAUUGCAUGAUUACCCGUACCAUAAACCGACACAGGUGGUUGGGUUGAGUAUACUAAGGCGCUCGAGUGAUUCGCGGUUAAGGAACUAGGCAAAAUAGUCCUGUAACUUCGGAAUAAAGGACGCUCACAGUGAAGGCUGUGAGCCGCAGAGAAUAGGCCCAGGCGACUGUUUAACAAAAACACAUGGCUAUGCUAAAUCGAAAGAUACUGUAUAUAGCCUGACACCUGCCCGGUGCUGGAAGGUUAAGAGGAGAUGUCAUCGCAAGAGAAGCAUUGAAUUGAAGCCCCAGUAAACGGCGGCCGUAACUAUAACGGUCCUAAGGUAGCGAAAUUCCUUGUCGGGUAAGUUCCGACCUGCACGAAUGGUGUAACGAUCUGGGUACUGUCUCAACCGCGAGCUCGGUGAAAUUGUAGUAUCGGUGAAGAUGCCGAUUACCCGCAACGGGACGAAAAGACCCCGUGAACCUUUACUAUAGCUUUGCAUUGGAUUUGGGUAACAAAUGUGUAGGAUAGGCCGGAGACUAUGAAGCGGGUACGCCAGUAUUCGUGGAGUCGCCGUUGAAAUACGGCCCUUUUGUUAUUUGGGUUCUAACUCGCGGAUGCGAGGACAUUGCAUGGUGGGUAGUUUGACUGGGGUGGUCGCCUCCAAAAGUGUAACGGAGGCUUCUAAAGGUACCCUCAGACCGAUUGGUAACCGGUCGUAGAGUGUAAUGGCACAAGGGUGCUUGACUGGGAGACUAACAAGUCGCACAGGUAGGAAACUAGAGCAUAGUGAUCCGGUGGUUCCGUAUGGAAGGGCCAUCGCUCAAAGGAUAAAA
rnacentral:rRNA from 1 species